GACGGACGCUGGCGGCGUGCUUAACACAUGCAAGUCGAACGGAAAGGCCCUGCUUUUGUGGGGUGCUCGAGUGGCGAACGGGUGAGUAACACGUGAGUAACCUGCCCUUGACUUUGGGAUAACUUCAGGAAACUGGGGCUAAUACCGGAUAGGAGCUCCUGCUGCAUGGUGGGGGUUGGAAAGUUUCGGCGGUUGGGGAUGGACUCGCGGCUUAUCAGCUUGUUGGUGGGGUAGUGGCUUACCAAGGCUUUGACGGGUAGCCGGCCUGAGAGGGUGACCGGCCACAUUGGGACUGAGAUACGGCCCAGACUCCUACGGGAGGCAGCAAUGGGGAAUAUUGCACAAUGGGCGGAAGCCUGAUGCAGCAACGCCGCGUGCGGGAUGACGGCCUUCGGGUUGUAAACCGCUUUCGCCUGUGACGAAGCGUGAGUGACGGUAAUGGGUAAAGAAGCACCGGCUAACUACGUG
rnacentral:rRNA from 1 species